UACGAAGGGGGCUAGCGUUGCUCGGAAUCACUGGGCGUAAAGCGCACGUAGGCGGAUUGCUAAGUCAGGGGUGAAAUCCUGGAGCUCAACUCCAGAACUGCCUUUGAUACUGGCGACCUUGAGUCCGGGAGAGGUGAGUGGAACUGCGAGUGUAGAGGUGAAAUUCGUAGAUAUUCGCAAGAACACCAGUGGCGAAGGCGGCUCACUGGCCCGAUACUGACGCUGAGGCACGAAAGCGUGGGGGAGCAAACAGG
rnacentral:rRNA from 1 species